GACGGAGGAUGCAAGCGUUAUCCGGAAUGAUGGGGCGUAAAGCGUCCGCAGGUGGCAGUUCAAGUCUGCUGUCAAAGACCGGGGCUUAACUUCGGAAAGGCAGUGGAAACUGAACAGCUAGAGUAUGGUAGGGGCAGAGGGAAUUCCUGGUGUAGCGGUGAAAUGCGUAGAGAUCGGGAAGAACAUCGGUGGCGAAGGCGCUCUACUGGACCACAACUGACACUCAGGGACGAAAGCUAGGGGAGCGAAUGGG
rnacentral:rRNA from 1 species